GCUUGUCUCAAAGAUUAAGCCAUGCAUGUCUAAGUAUAACUCUUUUACUUUGAAAACUGCGAACGGCUCAUUAUAUCAGUUAUAGUUUCUUUGAUAGUCCCUUACUACUUGGAUAACCGUAGUAAUUCUAGAGCUAAUACAUGCGCAAAUACCCAACUGCUUGUCGGACGGGUAGCAUUUAUUAGAUUGAAACCAAUGCAGUCUUCGGGCUGGUAUUGUGUUGAGUCAUAAUAACUGUGCGGAUCGCGUUUUACGCGAUAAAUCGAUUGAGUUUCUGCCCUAUCAGCUUUGGAUGGUAGGGUAUUGGCCUACCAUGGCUUUAACGGGUAACGGAGAAUUAGGGUUCGAUUCCGGAGAGGGAGCCUGAGAAAUGGCUACCACAUCCAAGGAAGGCAGCAGG
rnacentral:rRNA from 1 species